UCCCCUCGCUUGGGCCCCAAGUGCAUAUGGGUCCCUGUGCCUGUGUCCAUAAAACCCAUUGGAUAAUCCAGAACAGCUCAGACGUUAUUCUGAACACAGCUCUGAGAUCUUCAAGCUCCACAGAACUUCUACAGAUUCUUUCUGUCAUUGUGAAGAAACAUCUUGAAGAAUGAGAAGCCUGAUGUGUGUGCUGUUCCUGCUGAUCUUCUGCUCUAAGCAGGGGACUUCACAGCAUGCUCCUGAAGUUCCUCAGAGAUGUUGCUGGUCUUUUAUUGACUUUCCAAUUCCAUCCAGAAGAAUCGUCAGUGCUGUAAAGACAGGUUCACGCUGCCCUAUGCCUGGCAUUAUGUAAGUAUUUAAACUCUGAAAUAUAGAAAUGUGCUCCUUUAUAGAUGAAUCAUAAUGAAUGAUAAAAUUAUUUUGUGUAUGCCAGCACUUUAAACAAACAUUUUGAAUGUGAACUUUUCCCCUCAGGGUUACGACACCUAGAAAUGAAUUUUGUGUGGAACCAGACGAGGCUUGGAUAAAGAGCUUCAUGGAGAAAAGGCA